AAGGCCUUAGCUUAAUAAAAGCAUCUGGGUUGCAGUCAGAGUAUGUAAAUUAGUGCUUUACAGGUCUUA
rnacentral:tRNA from 1 species